CAGGUCUUCAGAUUCAGACUGAACUAUAGCUCUUGUUUUCAUGUGUAUGCAGUUUGUAGACAGAAGAUGCUAGACUUCCAUAAUCAUCAUUGUUCAUACCAGCCAAGUUAUAGAAACAACUUAAGUUUGUCAAUGGAGGAAUGAAUGGAUAAGAACAGAGCAGGGAGGGCAGAGUACACUAUGUAAAAGAGGUCAACUACACAAUAAGAGACUGGACUUCACCUGGUGAACCUAAUGUAGAUACACAUGGUAAAUUUUAUAAUACACACCUGAAACAUACUUCUCUGUGAGACAUAAUAGUGCUACCACAACUAAAAAAUUAAUUUCUAAUUAAACAAAUAUUGUGGGACACUUGUAA